rnacentral:rRNA from 1 species
GAUGAACGCUGGCGGCGUGCUUAACACAUGCAAGUCGAACGGAAAGGCCCAAGCUUGCUUGGGUACUCGAGUGGCGAACGGGUGAGUAACACGUGGGUGUUCUGCCCUGCACUUCGGGAUAAGCCUGGGAAACUGGGUCUAAUACCGGAUAGGACCACUUCUUGGAUGUUGUGGUGGAAAGUUUUUCGGUGUGGGAUGAGCUCGCGGCCUAUCAGCUUGUUGGUGGGGUAAUGGCCUACCAAGGCGUCGACGGGUAGCCGGCCUGAGAGGGUGUACGGCCACAUUGGGACUGAGAUACGGCCCAGACUCCUACGGGAGGCAGCAGUGGGGAAUAUUGCACAAUGGGCGCAAGCCUGAUGCAGCGACGCCGCGUGGGGGAUGACGGCCUUCGGGUUGUAAACUCCUUUCGCUAGGGACGAAGCUUAUUUUGUGACGGUACCUGGAGAAGAAGCACCGGCUAACUACGUG